UCUCGAUUCGUCUAGUGGUUAGGAUACCUGCUUGUCAUUCUAGACUAUAGUUCCACAAGGGACCGAAUCCGCAGGUGGCCGGGGUUCAAUUCCCCGAUCGAGAG